GGCCGCUGAACUGCUUGACGGGGUAUCGGGAAGGAGAAGCAGAAGAACAGAAUGCAGAAGAACACAGGAGAAUAGGAUUCAGGUAAUGUUCUUCUCCACCGAUACAUUCAUCUGUUCAGUUUAUAUCAAUCCCGCACUUGGGCUAUGGCCCAUUACAAGUGGCUCAAUUAAUCCACUCUGCUCCGGACACCCGAGGAUUCGGCCUUCUUCUGCGACGGCCCAAUUCUUUCAUUUCUACCGACUGUCUCUGUCCGUCUUGAAGCCUGCUGCUGACAUUCUCCCCUCCUUGAAAAUCCGCUUGACCCCAAGCGGAUGCUGCUGGAAAACGAGAACGCAAUGCUUCCUCAUCCUCCCAUGAAGACAGCGCUUCAUCACCUUGCGACCACCGAACCAGUACUUGCUGUACAGGAUUGCCUCCACGACGAAUGACACGUCUAUCGAGAGCUUGGACCGGCACCUGAAGAUGACCUGUAGCUUCAGGAAGAUUAGAGCUUACUGGUUGGGUACCCACAUGUUGCUUUAACUGAGACACAUGAAAGACCGGAUGCACUGUAGCACUCUCUGGCAGCUUUAAUUUGUAGGCGACGUUGCCAAUUUUCUGUAAUACUUGAUAGGGUCCAAAGUACUUAAAACUCAACUUGUGGUUUGCCCGUGUAGCCACUGAAGAUUGCACAUAAGGUUGGAGUUUAACAUAAACCCAAUCGUCUACCUGAAACUCCCUCUCGGUCCUACCUUUAUCAGCUUGGAACUUCAUUCGCUGCUGGGCCCGCAAUAAAUGCUGUCUGAUCAAUUUUACCAUGAGCUCGCGGUGUUGCAACCAGGAUUGUAAGUCCAGCUGAGAAGCAGAAUCAGACAUGGAAAUACCCAAGUGGCGUGGCGACCUGCCAUACAAUACCUCAAAGGGUGAUUUGCCCAGAGAUGAAUGGAAACUUGUGUUAUACCAAUAUUCAGCCACUGAAAGCCAAGCAGACCAUUUGGAUGGGCAGGCAUGCACAAAACUGCGAAGGAAGGUCUCUAAACAUUGAUUAACACGCUCCGUCUGCCCGUCUGUUUGAGGGUGAUAGGAGGAGCUCAUCUUGAGAGUUGUACCCGAGAGCCGAAACAAUUCUUGCCAAAACCUACUUGUGAAAAUUUUGUCACGAUCCGAAAUAAUAGAAUGGGGCAACCCAUGAAGCUUGUAUACCGAGUCCAAGAAUAACUGAGCAACCUUCAGAGCGGUAUACGGAUGAAGCAAUGGCAGGAAGUGGGCAUACUUGGAGAAGGUAUCCACCACCACCAAAAUAGUGUCUGCAUUAUGUGAUUUAGGAAGGCCCUCGACAAAAUCCAUACUAAUGACUUGCCAUGCAUGAUCUGGUACAGGAAGAGGUUGUAGUAAGCCUGGAUACCGGCUUCGAUCAGGCUUGGAUUGCUGACAUAUGGUACAGGCUGCCACAUAACUCUUAACAGAUGUCUUCAUGCCUGACCAAGCAAAUAUUUGUUUAAUUCUUCGGUAUGUUACAGGAAACCCCGAAUGACCACCGACUGGACUGUCGUGUAAUGCAGCGAUGAUCUGAUUCUGUAGUUGCGUAUUGUCUCCAACCCACACACGCCCUUUGUAUUUGAGAAGGCCAGCAUGAAGGGUAAAAGACCCUGUGGUGGACUGGCUAACAGCAAGCUCGGCCAACAAUUUCUGGGCUUGUGCAUCCUUGGUGUAACUGUCAACCACCUGAAGUAUCCACUGCGGUGUGCCCGAAGAAAAACUGAAUAUAGAUGGUUCUGAAACUGGUCGUCUGGACAACGCAUCAGCCACCCCAUUGUCAGCUCCUUUUUUAUAAACGAUGCGGUACUGGAGUCCCAAAAGCUUGGAAAAGACUCGCUGUUGCCAAGGCGUGGUCAGACGUUGUUCAGACAAAUGUGACAAGCUGCGAUGGUCUGAAUAUAUGGUAAAUUCAGCAUGUUGCAAAUACUGACGCCACUUGUCCACUGCCAGCAAAAUGGCCAAAUACUCCUUCUCAUAUGUGGAUAAUCCUUGGUUCCUCACACCCAAUGUUUUACUCACAAAUGCGAGAGGAUGUCCUCCUUGCAACAGUACAGCUCCAACCCCCAUGUUAGAUGCAUCUGUUUCAAUGACAAAUGGCUUGGUAAAGUUGGGAAGAGCCAACACAGGUGCUGUUGUCAAGGAUUGCUUAAGGGUGUUGAAAGCCACUUCAUGGAUAUGGGUCCAAACAAACAGCACUCCUUUCUUCAACAAGUCAUUGAGAGGUCGAGCAAUAAUACCAAAAUUGCGAACAAAUUUUCUAUAAUAACCGGCCAAUCCAAGAAAUCCUCUCAGGUCCUUCACACUCUGAGGAGUGGGCCAAGUAGAUACAGCUUCCACCUUUGCAGGGUCUGUGGAUACACCUUGAUGGCUGAUCACAUGACCCAGGUAUGCUAUCUGCUUCUUAGCAAAAGCACAUUUGGACAUCUUGAUGUACCAUUGAUCCUUAGCCAAAAGAGUGAGCACCUGCUGCAGAUGUGACAAAUGGUCUUCCCAUGUGUGACUAUAGACCAGUAUAUCAUCAAAAAAUACAAGCACACACUUCCUUAAUAGUGGGGCUAAUGUGGUGUUCAUUGCUCCCUGAAAUGUUGCUGGUGCCCCAGAAAGACCAAAGGGCAUGACCCUGAAUUCAAAAUGGCCGUGGUGUGUUUGGAAUGCAGUUUUAUGCUGGUCUUUUGGACUCAUCCGAAUUUGGUGGAACCCUGCUCUCAAAUCCAAUGUAGAAAACCACGCAGCACCACAUAAUUCAUCCAAGAACUCGUCAAUUAUAGGAACAGGGAAUUUGGUUUUAAUUGUGAGAGCAUUCAAAUGUCGGUAGUCCACACAAAAGCGAUAUGUCUGGUCCUUCUUUUUAACCAAUAUCACUGAAGAAGCAAACUCGCUGUUGCUUGGCUGAAUAAUUCCCGACUGCAACAUAUCAGUAACCUGCUGCUCUAUCUCAUUCUUGAGGGCUGGAGCAUACCGAUAUGGCCUCACUUGCACAGGUCGAGCUCCAGGGCACAAUGGAAUUUGAUGAUCACACUCUCGAACUGGUGGCAUGCCAUGUGGAAUGUCAAAUACUGAUGGAAAGUUAUUCAAUAAGGCUUGGAUAUCAGCAGGUAAACUGUUAAACAUGGUUUGCUCUUUGUCUGACAAGUCCUGCAAACUACAUAUUUGUAUCAUGGCAGUCUGCAUGACUGAAUUUUUAAUUCCAUGCAAUGUGACAGUGGUUUCCUGCAAAGGAAUACUCAACCACUUGUGGGUCCAAUGGAUUAGCAUGGGACUGUGAGCUUCGAGCCAAUCCAUACCAAUAAUGAGGUCAUAUGCUGGAAGGUCCAAGAUCUUGAGAGUAGAGAUGAAUGAUACUCCACUGAUGGACCAUGAGGUAUUAACCAAUUCCUGUGAACAAUGUAGGUGAGACCCAUUGGCUACUUGGACCUGCAAUGGUUUAACAGUGGCUGUAAUACCUUGAAUUGUCUGUGCUACAGCUGUACUGAGGAAUGAGUGGGAACUCCCUGAAUCUAGCAAUGCCAAAAUAUCUGUGCCCGCAAUGUUGCCCACAAACUUCAUUGUGCGGGGAGCCUUAGAACUUCCAAGGGCUGCUUGAGACAAUUUCAGUACAUUAAGUUCAGUAACUGCUUCAUCUUCACUUGGUGAAUCUUCAGACUCAGGUAGCUGGACCAACUGCCACAAUUCUUCCACCAAAUGUAACUGAACCGUGUCCGAACAACGGUGGCCACGAGCAUAUUGGGCACCACAUUUGUAGCAAAGACCUCGAGCUUUGCGAUAAGCAUAUAGAGACGCCAUCUUAUCUUCAGUAGAAGUAUGGGAGACAGUACCCAUGGAAGAUUUAUCCUCCCCUUUGGCUGGUGUCUGAUAUUUGAAUUCCUUGGAACCUUGAGCAGUCACAGUUCCUUGUGCAGUAGUAGAUCUGAAUGAAUUUCCAGAAUCUGACCAUUUGUAAUCGCGCUUCCUUGCCAACAUGCCUGCUUCUUCCUGCAACUGAGCAAGCAAAGCAGCAGUAUCUAGAUCGGGUGGCCUUUGAAGCAUGACUCCAGCCUUAAUAUCAUUUUUAAGGCCAUCCACAAAUUUCAUGGUAUAAUACAAUGGAUCAUUCAUAUGUUGGUAAGCAUUCAAUUUAUCUACCAACUGAUAAAAUUCUUCUACGUAGGCAGCUACCGUCCCCACUUGGCGUAUUGUGAACAGCUGUCGUAAUAACAGCUGAUGUUGGUCUUUGCCGAACCUCUCACUGAUCAAAUGGUUAAAUUCUUCCCAAGAUAUGAUGGAUAAUCUAUGUUCAACAGAUUGUAACCACCUAGCUGCGGGACCAAUGAACUGCAUAGUGGCUACUCUAAUCCAAACAGUGUGAUCCACCGAGUACAUAUGGAAAUAAUCCUCACAACGUUUCUUCCACAACUUAGGAUUAUCGCCAUCAAACGAUGGGAACUGAAGUUUUGGUAGAUUUCCUAAGGAAUUGGUCGGAGGUCCUGGCACCCUACCCCCCACCACAUGUGGCACCGAAUAAGGAAUGGACGGCCCCCAACUGUCCUGCGCCGGAUAUGCAGAUUGAUGACUGGGGAAGAAGGGCAGAUGCAUACCAUUGUCCGGGAGAUGGUUUGGGGGUCGCCCUGCCCCAACACCAUGCCCCCGAAUUUGAUGUUCAGCGCCUCGCCCCCCGGGGCUGUCAGUGCUUAUCGCGGCAGCCGAUGUGCGCUCCACCACGGACGGAUGAGGACCCAGUAUACUCCGUGGUCCAGCGUUGUCCUCCACCGCGCCCUUCUCCAUUAGGCGCGACAAACGCGACAGUUCAGAUCGAACACUGUCGAUGGAGUUCUCCAUUCUUGGCCGCCAUGACUCGAACUCCGAAGUGGCCGUCUCGAGUAUCGCUACUCUUGUAGUGGCUUCUGCCGCGAUGGAGUCGAGGCGGUCGCGAGUCACCGUUUCCAGUUCGGCGAUUCGGGCGUCGACUUGGUCUCCAACAUUCCGAUGAAGGUCGCGCUGGAAUGUCGAAAUUCCGUCGUCGGUAAGCUUGGCGUGCAGCGUGGCAAUGGUGUCUGCGUUGGUAGCCACCGCCUUCUCCAGUUGUUGCCACCUGUUGUCUUGAGAUUCCAUCCUAUCGCAUAUCUGCUGCAACACCUUGGAUUGGGCAGCCAGCGUCCGUGACUGCACCUCUAUGGACUUCGACUGCGCUUCCAGCGCUGCGGCCACGCCUGGGUCAGGAGCGCCCGCCAUCUUCGCUCGUCGGGUAUAGUAGAUGGUUGUCGCCAGAAUCGUGGACCUCUGAUACCACUUGUCAGCGCCACGGCCGCUGAACUGCUUGACGGGGUAUCGGGAAGGAGAAGCAGAAGAACAGAAUGCAGAAGAACACAGGAGAAUAGGAUUCAGGUAAUGUUCUUCUCCACCGAUACAUUCAUCUGUUCAGUUUAUAUCAAUCCCGCACUUGGGCUAUGGCCCAUUACAAGUGGCUCAAUUAAUCCACUCUGCUCCGGACACCCGAGGAUUCGGCCUUCUUCUGCGACGGCCCAAUUCUUUCAUUUCUACCGACUGUCUCUGUCCGUCUUGAAGCCUGCUGCUGAC
rnacentral:lncRNA from 1 species